GACGAACGCUGGCGGCGUGCCUAAUACAUGCAAGUCGAACGAGAGCGACCGGUGCUUGCACUGGUCAAUCUAGUGGCGAACGGGUGAGUAACACGUGGGUAACCUGCCCAUCAGAGGGGGAUAACAUCCGGAAACGGAUGCUAAAACCGCAUAGGUCUUCGAGCCGCAUGGCUUGAAGAGGAAAAGAGGCGCAAGCUUCUGCUGAUGGAUGGACCCGCGGUGCAUUAGCUAGUUGGUGAGGUAACGGCUCACCAAGGCCGUGAUGCAUAGCCGACCUGAGAGGGUGAUCGGCCACAUUGGGACUGAGACACGGCCCAAACUCCUACGGGAGGCAGCAGUAGGGAAUCUUCCGCAAUGGACGCAAGUCUGACGGAGCAACGCCGCGUGAGUGAAGAAGGUUUUCGGAUCGUAAAACUCUGUUGUUAGAGAAGAACAAGUGCUAGAGUAACUGUUAGCGCCUUGACGGUAUCUAACCAGAAAGCCACGGCUAACUGCGUG
rnacentral:rRNA from 1 species